GGUUAAGCGACUAAGCGUACACGGUGGAUGCCCUGGCAGUCAGAGGCGAUGAAGGACGUGCUAAUCUGCGAAAAGCGCCGGCGAGGUGAUAUGAACCCUUGACCCGGCGAUGUCCGAAUGGGGAAACCCAGUGUGUUCCGACACACUAUCGUUAACUGAAUACAUAGGUUAACGAGGCGAACCGGGGGAACUGAAACAUCUAAGUACCCCGAGGAAAAGAAAUCAACCGAGAUUCCCCCAGUAGCGGCGAGCGAACGGGGAGCAGCCCGGAGUCUGAAUCAGCUUGUGUGUUAGUGGAACGGUCUGGAAAGUCCGACGGUACAGGGUGAUAGUCCCGUACACGAAAAUGCACAUGCUGUGAACUCGAAGAGUAGGGCGGGACACGUGGUAUCCUGUCUGAAUAUGGGGGGACCAUCCUCCAAGGCUAAAUACUCCUGACUGACCGAUAGUGAACCAGUACCGUGAGGGAAAGGCGAAAAGAACCCCGGCGAGGGGAGUGAAAAAGAACCUGAAACCGUGUACGUACAAGCAGUGGGAGCACCUUCGGGUGUGACUGCGUACCUUUUGUAUAAUGGGUCAGCGACUUAUAUUCUGUAGCAAGGUUAACCGUAUAGGGGAGCCGAAGGGAAACCGAGUCUUAACUGGGCGUUAAGUUGCAGGGUAUAGACCCGAAACCCGGUGAUCUAGCCAUGGGCAGGUUGAAGGUUGGGUAACACUAACUGGAGGACCGAACCGACUAAUGUUGAAAAAUUAGCGGAUGACCUGUGGCUGGGGGUGAAAGGCCAAUCAAACCGGGAGAUAGCUGGUUCUCCCCGAAAGCUAUUUAGGUAGCGCCUCGUGAACUCAUCUUCGGGGGUAGAGCACUGUUUCGGCUAGGGGGCCAUCCCGGCUUACCAACCCGAUGCAAACUACGAAUACCGAAGAAUGUUAUCACGGGAGACACACGGCGGGUGCUAACGUCCGUCGUGAAGAGGGAAACAACCCAGACCGCCAGCUAAGGUCCCAAAGUCAUGGUUAAGUGGGAAACGAUGUGGGAAGGCACAGACAGCCAGGAUGUUGGCUUAGAAGCAGCCAUCAUUUAAAGAAAGCGUAAUAGCUCACUGGUCGAGUCGGCCUGCGCGGAAGAUGUAACGGGGCUAAACCAUGCACCGAAGCUGCGGCAGCGACGCUUAUGUGUUGUUGGGUAGGGGAGCGUUCUGUAAGCCGUUGAAGGUGUGCUGUGAGGCAUGCUGGAGGUAUCAGAAGUGCGAAUGCUGACAUAAGUAACGAUAAAGCGGGUGAAAAGCCCGCUCGCCGGAAGACCAAGGGUUCCUGUCCAACGUUAAUCGGGGCAGGGUGAGUCGACCCCUAAGGCGAGGCCGAAAGGCGUAGUCGAUGGGAAACAGGUUAAUAUUCCUGUACUUGGUGUUACUGCGAAGGGGGGACGGAGAAGGCUAUGUCAGCCGGGCGACGGUUGUCCCGGUUUAAGCAUGUAGGCGGAGGUUCCAGGUAAAUCCGGUACCUUAUUAACGCUGAGGUGUGAUGACGAGGCACUACGGUGCUGAAGUGAUAAAUGCCCUGCUUCCAGGAAAAGCCUCUAAGCAUCAGGUAACACGAAAUCGUACCCCAAACCGACACAGGUGGUCAGGUAGAGAAUACCAAGGCGCUUGAGAGAACUCGGGUGAAGGAACUAGGCAAAAUGGUGCCGUAACUUCGGGAGAAGGCACGCUGAUAUGUAGGUGAAGCCCCUGCGGGCGGAGCUGAAAUCAGUCGAAGAUACCAGCUGGCUGCAACUGUUUAUUAAAAACACAGCACUGUGCAAACACGAAAGUGGACGUAUACGGUGUGACGCCUGCCCGGUGCCGGAAGGUUAAUUGAUGGGGUUAGCGGCAACGCGAAGCUCUUGAUCGAAGCCCCGGUAAACGGCGGCCGUAACUAUAACGGUCCUAAGGUAGCGAAAUUCCUUGUCGGGUAAGUUCCGACCUGCACGAAUGGCGUAAUGAUGGCCAGGCUGUCUCCACCCGAGACUCAGUGAAAUUGAACUCGCUGUGAAGAUGCAGUGUACCCGCGGCAAGACGGAAAGACCCCGUGAACCUUUACUAUAGCUUGACACUGAACACUGGUCCUUGAUGUGUAGGAUAGGUGGGAGGCUUUGAAGCGUGGACGCCAGUCUGCGUGGAGCCGUCCUUGAAAUACCACCCUUUAAUGGCUGGUGUUCUAACGUAGACCCGUGAUCCGGGUUGCGGACAGUGUCUGGUGGGUAGUUUGACUGGGGCGGUCUCCUCCCAAAGAGUAACGGAGGAGCACGAAGGUUGGCUAAUCCUGGUCGGACAUCAGGAGGUUAGUGCAAUGGCAUAAGCCAGCUUGACUGCGAGCGUGACGGCGCGAGCAGGUGCGAAAGCAGGUCAUAGUGAUCCGGUGGUUCUGAAUGGAAGGGCCAUCGCUCAACGGAUAAAAGGUACUCCGGGGAUAACAGGCUGAUACCGCCCAAGAGUUCAUAUCGACGGCGGUGUUUGGCACCUCGAUGUCGGCUCAUCACAUCCUGGGGCUGAAGUAGGUCCCAAGGGUAUGGCUGUUCGCCAUUUAAAGUGGUACGCGAGCUGGGUUUAGAACGUCGUGAGACAGUUCGGUCCCUAUCUGCCGUGGGCGCUGGAGAAUUGAGGGGGGCUGCUCCUAGUACGAGAGGACCGGAGUGGACGCAUCACUGGUGUUCGGGUUGUCAUGCCAAUGGCACUGCCCGGUAGCUAAAUGCGGAAGAGAUAAGUGCUGAAAGCAUCUAAGCACGAAACUUGCCCCGAGAUGAGUUCUCCCUGAGAC
rnacentral:rRNA from 1 species